CAUACCCUAUUAUCGGACCACAGAUGAAUUAUCACGUUGUGAUUGGUUAAACGCCGUCACGUGGUGACUCCCUAUGAGACCGUAUGGGGUUAGUAAGUUUCAUAUGGGGUUCAUGACGCGUUAAUGGCGACGUCAUCUAUUAAUGUUGUUGUGUUCCAUUGUUUAUUUUUCAACAAAACGCCGCAGAAAAAGUCUAGCGUCCGAUAAAUUCGUUAUACGGUUAACUACUGACCCCCUACGGAUCCAUAGAGGGUGAAUAAAAUGCAUAGGGGACUCGGCCUCCGGCCUCAUCCCCUAUGGAUUUUACUAACCCUCUAUGGAUCCGUAUGGGGUCAGUAGCGAACCAUAUAACUUAUAAUGU
rnacentral:lncRNA from 1 species